rnacentral:rRNA from 1 species
GUGAGUAAUGCUAGGAACUGCUGGUAGCGGGGGACAACGACGCGAAAGGGACGCUAAUACCGCUACGCCUACGGGGGAAAGCAGGGGACCGCAAGACCUUGCGUAUUAGAGCAGCCGAGGUCGGAUUAGCUAGUUGGUGAGGUAACGGCUCACCAAGGCGACGAUCCGUAACUGGUUUGAGAGGACGACCAGUCACACUGGAACUGAGACACGGCCCAGACUCCUACGGGAGGCAGCAGUGGGGAAUUUUGGACAAUGGGCGAAACCCUGAUCCAGCCAUGCCGCGUGUGCGAAGAAGGCCUUCGGGUUGUAAAGCACUUUAGGUUGGGAAGAAAGGCCGUGAAUUAAUACUUUGCUGAUUUGACGUUACCGGCAGAAUAAGCACCGGCUAACUAUGUGCCAGCAGCCGCGGUAAUACAGAGGGUGCAAGCGUUAAUCGGAAUUACUGGGCGUAAAGCGCGCGUAGGUGGUUUGUAAAGUUGGAUGUGAAAGCCCCGGCUUA